rnacentral:lncRNA from 9 species
AUGGGCAGAGGAGUGGAAGAGAAAGAUGCAAGAUGGACAACAAAGGAUGCGAGAGAAAUAAAAAUGAAAGGAGAAAGAAGCAGCAGAGAAAAAGAGAGCGGUGGGGUGACUAGAGGAGGUGGACAGGGACAGAAGAAGGACACUGAGAAAAGCCCUGGGGGGGUGUUUAAUCCUAGAAUGAAGAGGCAUCCAGACCUUGCCCACUGCCCCUCACCCCCUCAUCCUUUGGAUGGAAGGGACAGAACCCCACCUGUGACAAACCCUGUCAUCCAAGGAUGGGGUCAGUGGAGCCUCCAGUGCUGGUCCUCUCUGUGGAGCCCAGGCCCAGACGCAAGCUCCUCUUGAAAUGCUCCCCUUCCGGACAGAAGCCAUGUGAGUGACCCAGUGGAGAGAUUCCUUCACGGUAAGGCAGGAAGUGCAUCAGUGUCCAGACCCAGCAGGAGCAGAGGAUUUGGGGGAAUAGCCAGGUCAGCUCGAAAAGUUGUCCCCAUGCACAUUCUGGGGGUCCCCCGGGUGAAGGCAGAGGGGUCCUCACCAGCCCAGUUCUGGGGGUGGAUGUGGUGUAGACACUGAUGUCCACAUGUCCGGUUUCCUGUUUGGAAGUUGGCUUUACCCCUCUGAGCCUCAGUUUCCUUCCCUGUAAAAUGGAGAUAAUCAGCUCAAGUUGAACCCCUCUUUUUUUUGCUUUGAGGGCCACACCCACAGCACAUGGAAGGUCCCAGGGUAGGGGCUGAAUUGGAGCAGUCACAGGCACACAGAAUCCAAGCCCCGUCUGCGACCUACACCACAGCUCAUGGAAAUGCUGGAUCCUUAAACCACUGAGAAAGGCCAGGGAUCGAACCUGUGUCCUCCUGGAUGCCAGUCAGAUUCAUUAACUGCUGAGCCAUGACGGGAAUGCCAGCAUUUUUUAUUUUUGUUUAUUUUUCCUUUUUAGGGCUGCAGGCUAGGGUCGAAUGCAGCUCCCGGCCUAUGCCACAGCCACCAUAGCCACAGCAAGGGGAGCUGUGGGGUAGGUCACAGAUGCAGCUCCAAUUCGACCCUUAGCCUGGGAACACCCUAUGCUGCAGGUGCGGCCCUCAAAAGGAAAAAACAAACAAACAAAGAAUUAAGGAGGUAUUUGGAUUUUAGGGAGACGGCAUGUGUAUAUGAAUAUGAGGUCAGCCCCGCUGGGUUCAGGGUGGCUCCUGGAAUCAAGAAGAUCAAUAUUUCCUUGGUGAAAUGUGGGCUUUUCACACCACAGUGAGAUAAACACAGAUUUAAAUAUUUAUAUUCAAAUUUAUUUGAAUAGCCUGUGUCAGGUCAUGUUUCGCCAUCAAGUAUGCCAGACAACAAUCUCUCCUUUUCAGAGCUAUUUGGAUCAUGGAAUUGUGGAUGACUGAGGGCGAGCCUGCAAUUUAUGAUACCUAUGAAGUGUUCCAUUAGGGCCAAUGUUCACAGACAUUACAGGACCAAAUAUUCCUGCUGCUGACGGGUUGUAAGUUUAGAUUUAAGGUAAAUAAGACAAGAUUCAGUCAAAUAUCUUUCAUUAUAGUUGACACUUUGAAAUGAGCGCUAAAUAAGUAUGUUCAUAUGUCGGAAUUCCCAUCAUGGCGCAGUGGAAAUGAAUCCGACUAGAAACCAUGAGGUUGCGGGUUCAAUCCCUGGCCUCGCUCAGUGGGUGAAGGAUCCAGCAUUGCCGUGAGCUGUGGUGUCGGUUGUAGACGCGGCUGGGAUCCUGUGUUGCUGUGACUGUGGUGUAGGCUGGCAGCUGUAGCUCUGAUUCGACCCCUAGCCUGGGAACUUCCAUAUACCGCGUGUGGGGCCGUAAAAAGAAAAAAAAAUUCAUAUGUCUAUUAAGAGAGAAGUCACACAGAUCCCUGGUGGCCUAGUGGUUACGGAAACAGAAUUGUCACUGCUGUGGCUCAGGUUCAAUCCCUCACCCAGUAACUCCUGCACACUGCAGAUGCGGUCAAAAAUGAGAGAGAGGAGAGAGAGAGAGAAGCCAAAAAAAGACUGUAACAGGCUAGAUAGUCUGGGAUUCCAGUGCCGUAAAGAGACUGACGUGGGUGCUAUGAUUCUGUGACAUGGCCAACACUCCCAGGAUCACUUCUGCCCUCUUUCGGGUAUGAUCAUUCCUUUUUUUUUUUUUUUUUUUUUUGCUAUUUCUUGGGCCGCUCCUGCGGCAUAUGGUGGUUCCCAGGCUAGGGGUCAAAUCGGAGCUGUAGCCGCCGGCCUAUGCCAGAGCCACAGCAAUGCGGGAUCCGAGCCGCGUCUGCAACCUACACCACAGCUCACGGACAACACUGGAUCUUUAACCCACUGAGCAAGGGCAGGGACCGAACCCGUAACCUCAUGGUUCCUAGUCAGAUUCGUUAACCACUGCGCUACGACGGGAACUCCCGGGUAUGAUCAUUCCUUGAUUCACAUGCAGCUCCUGGGAAAUUCAGAGUACAUUAAAAUAGUGCAAAAUUCUUGCACUCUUGCUGUUUAUUGUAGAAAUGGGAGCGGCUGUGGCCUGAGCUGUUAACAGAUGCUUCCUGCGCCCGCGGACUCCCGCAGGACCCAGGAAACCCUUCCUGGUCUGGGCUGCGCAGUGCAUCGCAAGAAUGUGGAUUCCCUGGCCCCGGCCACCAAAGCCUUACAGAUUUACACGCAUCUCCCAGGACGGGCCCCAUCUACAGACUUACUGAACCCUGAGAGAGGGAUGUGAGCGCGAGGGGGCGGGACUCCGGGCGCUGGGAGGGGCCUCCCGGCCUCCCAGAGUCGAGCCAGAGAUUUUCCUGCAGGGGGCGCCAGAGAACUGAGCACGCGAGCGGGGGACUUGAACCGCAGGCUCUAUCACACUGUGGCGGGGCAGUCGCGUGCACCUGCACCAACAGAUACAUCAGCGUCUGCACAGGGAACCGUGACGUGCAAGAGACUUUUCCCUGCGUGUGGCUAGAGACGUGUGUGUGAGUUUCACAUGUUUUAUUGGUGACAGGUGCCUUUAUUACAGAACCCAGUUAUGUACCCAUGUCAUUGUCCCUGCAUGCAACAUGCUUCCAUGUGCUGACACCAACAAGCAGGCUGACAUCAAGGUACACCUAAGACUCAGGCAUAGCUCUUGAUCAUGGUAUGUGCAGACGUGUAUUUGUCAGGACCCGCGUGUUCAUGCUGCAUUUUGCGUUAAUGGCAGCCUGUUACAUGUCACUUACGUGUCUGACAUCAACAUGCACAUGGACACAUGUGCCUGUGGACAUGUGGACAGUGAAAGUGCCUCUCUCAGCCUUGUGUAUCCAACCUCCAGGAUGAAGCCCCUUGGCUGGAGAUUUGGAAACAAUAAUCCAACCUACCACACGGGGUAUUAUUAUUAUUUUCUUUUAGGGAUAUAUAUUCCUGUGGCAUGUGGAGGUUCCCAGGCUAGGGGUCAAAUCAGAGCUGCAGCUGCCGGCUUACGCCACAGCCACAGCAGUGCAGGAUCCCAGCCUCAUCUGCAACCCAAGCCACAAGAUGUGGCAACUGGAUCCUUACCCACUGAGUGAGGCCGGGGAUGGAACCCACAUCCUCAUGGACACUAUGUCAGGUUCUUAACCUGCUGAGGCACAGUGAGAACUCUGGGGAUAGUAUUUUUUUAUUAAAUGCAUUUUUCAGAAAUGACUCUCUGAAUCACAUGCCCAAGGUCACACAGCUGGCAAGUGAUGGAGCCAAAAUUUGAAUCCAGGCUGGCUGGUUCUAGAACCAUGGGUCACAACCACUAACCUACAGGAAAAUAAGGGAGCUCGCCUAAGGGAGCUGUCAUGAGGUUCCAAUAAGAGCAGGAACAGCACUUGGCACUGAACCCGGGCCUAAGGCUUAGGGCUUGUCCUAUUUACUUCCAUCACCUAAUUCCAGCUUGGCCUUGGCUCAAGUUUUGGAGGGAGUUUCUGCCCCUGGCAGUGUUCCAGGAAUGCCAGUUGACCUUUAUAAACCGGUAUGAUGAGGAGUCAGCGUCAAGGGAAGGGAGAGCGGAGAUAAAAUCAGAUCACAGGAGGCAGCUAUUGAGAGGUUAGGAGUCAUUCCCCACAGUCUUGGGCAGCAGGGAAGGCGAGUCACGCAGUGGUGAAUGAGCAGACGCGCGGCAGACAGUGGCCAGAACCGCUGACGUGUCAGAUUGUGUGUGCACAUUGUUCUUCGGGCGUUAUUGCUGAACCCUGUUUCUCUGUUGAUAAAAAGCAUCCCCCCCCCCCAUAUCCCAAAACCUAAGACUCCACUGCCAUGGCCCCGCUCAUAGGCAGAGCUCCAAGACAACAUCCCAUGAAGAGUGUGGCAGAUAUUUCUUCAAAGUGGCCACAGUCAUAUUUCCAGGUCCACGUGUUCUUCCCUGUGGAAUCUUGAGCUUUCCCAUCAGGAAGUGGAGUGUGUUUCCUUCCCUUGGGCCGGGAGGCGUGACUGCCUUGAUGAAAAGAAUGAGGAGGGAGUGACACUGCAUGACUCCCAAGGCUAGGUCUUAAAGGAGACAUGGUGUGCCUGUGCCAUCUCCUCACUCCCGCUCCCUCACCCUUGUGACCAGCCACCAUGCUGUAAGGAAGCCCAAGCAGCCAUGUGGGAAGGUCCCAUGUAGACAGUCCAGCCACAGCCCCCCCUCAGAUCAUUCCAGCCCACAGUCUAUAAGCUGCCCCAGCUGAUGCCAUGUGGAGGAGAGAUGAGCUGUCCCCACUGAGCCCUGCCCAGACUGCAGAUUUGUAAGCAAAAUAAAUCCUGUUAGGAUGCUUUGUUUUGUAAACCAGGGAACUUCCAGGUCUUUCUAACCUGAGAGGAAAGAGGACUUCAUUCAGACCUAAUUGAGGGAGUUCCCUGGUGGCCUAGUGGUUAAGGAUCCAGUAUUCUCACUAGGGUGGUAUGGGAUUGAUCCUUGGCACGAGAACUUCUGCAUGCCAAGGUCGUAGAAAAAAAAAAAAAAAGGAAUUCCCAUGGUGGCACAGUGGAAACAAAUCUGACUAGGAACCAUGAGGUUGCAGGUUUGAUCCCUGGCUUCACUCAGUGGGUUAAGGAUCUGGCAUUGCCAUGAGCUGUGGUGUAGGUGGAAGAUGCAGCUCGGAUCCCACAUUGCUGUGACUGUGGCCAGCAGCUGUAGCUCUGAUUCGACUCCCAGCCUGGGAACCUCCAUAUGCCAUGCGUAUGGCCCUAAAAAGCCAAAAAAAAAAAAAAAAAAGAACUACUGUGCUGAUUUUUUUUCCCCCACCAUAGAUGAGCCUUGCACGUUCUGGCACGUCUUAGAAUUGAUGUCACAUUGCAUUCUCUUUUGUGUCUGCCUUCUUUCAUUCUGCAUAAUAAUUCUGAGAUUCAUCCAUAUUGUAUGUGUAUCAUAAU